AUUCUGAGGGCAGCGCCGGUUCCCUGCGGUCAAGAUGCUGCAAAACGUGACUCCCCACAAGCUCCCUGGGGACGGGAAUGCAGGGUUACUGGGGCUGGGCCCAGAGGCAGCAGCACCAGGGAAAAGGAUUCGAAAGCCCUCCCUGUUGUAUUUGGGAUGUGAGAGCCCCACAAUGGCUUCAGUGCCAGCUUUACAACUGACCCUUGCCAACCCAACACCCCCAGAAGUGUCCAAACCCAAAAAGCCAGGACGAGUUACCAAUCUGCUGCAAUACCUACACAAAGUGGUAAUGAAGGCUCUGUUGAAACAUCAGUUUGCACGGUCAUUCCGGCAGCCUGUGGAUGCCGUCAAACUGGGUCUGCUGGAUUAUCACAAAAUUAUAAAACAGCCUAUGGACAUGGGUACUAUUAAGAGGAGACUUGAAAACAGUUAUUAUUGGGCUGCAUCAGAGUGUAUGCAAGAUUUUAAUACCAUGUUCACCAACUGUUAUAUUUACAACAAGCCCACUGACGAUAUUGUCCCGAUGGCACAAACGCUGGAAAAGAUCUUUCUACAGAAAGUGGCAUCAAUGCCACAAGAGAUGACCAUCCCUAACAACAGCCACAAGAAGGGGGCCAAGUUGUCAGCAAUCCAGGGCACUAUUACCAGUGCCCAUCAGGUGCCUGCUGUCUCUCCUGUAUCACAUACAGCCCUGUAUACUCCACCGCCUGAGCUACCUACCACUGUCCUCAACAUUCCCCAUCCAUCGGUCAUUUCUUCUCCCCUUCUCAAGUCCCUGCACUCUGCUGGACCCCCACUUCUUGCUGUUACUACAGCUCCCCCAGCCCAGCCCCUUGCCAAGAAAAAAGAUGUAAAGCGGAAAGCAGAUACUACCACCCCUACAUCUACAGCCAUCCUGGCUCCUCGUUCCCCAGCUAGUCGUCCUGGGGGUCUUGAACCUAAAGCAGCACGGAUGCCCCCUGUACGUAGAGAGAGGGAUCGUCCCAUCAAGCCACCACGCAAAGACUUGCCUGGCUCUCAGCAACAACACCAGAGCUCUAAGAAAGGAAAAUUAUCAGAACAGUUAAAACAUUGCAAUGGCAUUUUGAAAGAGUUAUUCUCCAAGAAGCAUGCUGCCUAUGCCUGGCCUUUCUAUAAACCAGUGGACGCUUCUGCUCUUGGCCUGCGUGAUUACCACGACAUCAUUAAGCACCCCAUGGACCUCAGCACUGUCAAGCAGAAGAUGGAGAAUCGCGAUUACCAGGAUGCACAGGAGUUUGCUGCUGAUGUGCAGCUUAUGUUCUCCAACUGCUAUAAGUACAAUCCCCCAGACCACGAUGUUGUGGCCGUGGCACGAAAGCUGCAGGAUGUAUUUGAGUUCCGUUAUGCCAAGAUGCCAGAUGAGCCACUGGAACCAAGGCCUUUACCAGUCUCUACUGCCUUGCCUCCUGGCCCGGCCAAAUCAUCUUCAGAGUCCUCCAGUGAAGAAAGUAGCAGUGAGAGUUCCUCUGAGGAAGAGAAGGAGGAAGAUAAAGAGGACGAGGAAGAAGAAGAGAGUGAAAGGUCAGACUCAGAGGAAGAAAGAGCUCAUCGCUUGGCUGAACUACAGGAACAGCUUCGGGCAGUACAUGAACAGCUAGCUGCCUUGUCCCAGGGGCCCAAUAUCCAAGCCCAAGUGGAAGAGAGGAAAAGGAGAGAAAAAGAAGAAACGGAAGACAGAGAAGCAUCGAGGCCGAGCUGGGGCUGAUGAAGAUGACAAGGGGCCAUGGGCACCUCGCCCCCCACAGCCCAAAAAGUCCAAGAAAGCAAGUGGCAGUGGGGGUGGGCAGUGCUGCUAUAGUUCCUUCUGGCUUUGGACCUUCUGGAGGAAGUGGCACGAAGCUGCCAAAAAAGGCCACAAAGACGGCCCCACCUGCCCUGCCUAUGGGUUAUGAUUCAGAGGAAGAGGAAGAGAGCAGGCCCAUGAGUUAUGAUGAGAAGCGGCAGUUGAGCCUGGAUAUCAACAAAUUACCUGGGGAGAAGCUGGGUCGAGUUGUGCAUAGAAUCCAAGCCAGGGAGCCCUCUUUGUGUGAUCCAAACCCAAAAGAGAUUGAGAUUGAUUGUGAAACACUCAAGCCAUCCACACUUAGAGAGUUUGAGUGCUAUGUCCUUUCCUGCCUGCGAAAGAAACCCCGGAAGCCUUACACUGUCAAGAAACCUAUGGGAAAGACAAAGGAGGAACUGCCUUUGGAGAAGAAGAGAGAUUAGAAAAGCGGUUACAGGAUGUCAGUGGGCAGCUCAACUCCACCAAAAAGCCCCCCAAAAAAGUGAGUGAGAAUAACAGAGUCGUCCUCUGCACAGCAAGUAGCAGUGUCAUGCCUCAGCGCUUCCAGCUCCAGCUCAGAUUCUAGCUCCUCCUCUUCAUCUUCCUCUUCCUCAGACACCAGUGAUUCAGACUCAGGCUAA